ACCACGUAACACAUACAUAAAACGUCCGAAAUCAUUCUUGCAUUUAUGUUGCUGCAAGCAAAGCUUCCGAAGCACACUUGAAUGCUUGUGCUAUAAAGCUCAAUGAAACGAAACUUCUACUAACUAUAAUGAAUAAACAUACUAAUACAUCGAAACACUGUCUGCUGUGGCUGUAAACGUCAAAAUUAAUAAGGUAAACAAAUCAACAUGGGUGGAAUUGAAAUUUUUAGCUGCUGUUUUACGGUUGUUUCUUCAAGAAUUCGAAGUUUUUAUUGGACUUUUUCUGUGCGGACGGCGAGAUUGGGUGGUGAUUUUAUCACAGGCUAUGGUGAGCUACGGAUGAAAUUCUGGAGCCCUUGAAUGGAUCAAUUAGGCUCAAAUACUCGGCUGGCUUGUGUCUCUUGAUAGAGGAUUGUUACCUUUAAUCGAAGGGAAGCUAAGUUCCAUAUGAUAGGUGAGUUUUUAUGCAUAUAUUAAUGCUUUCGAUUUCUUUUUAGGAUGUUGUCGGACGGGAAGAUGAUACACCUGAUGGGUGGCAUGAUACAACGGCGUAAUACAUACGAUGUCGCGCGACACGGGGUGUCCAUAAACAACGUAACAUCUCAAGAUAAGUUUCACAACCGGAAGAAAGUGUGAGAUGUUCAAUUCAACAAACACGCAGAACUGUACUGAUAAUAUCAGUACGCAGAUUCCAAAUAUUACUGAACUCGAAAUAACUCUACGCAAUGAACCUCAAACGACACUAAAUUCCUAAACAUAAGUACCAUAAAUAUUGUACCUUAUAAUCUCCAAAAAUAUCAAGCCUAUAUGGGGCUGAAUAGUCAUAAGUCCUUUAGAUAAUUCAUCUAAUUAGUAGAUGAAGUAUAGUCUUUCAACCAAUGUUGAAAUCAUUUAGCUAGUAGUUUAUACAGUUAUGAGAAUGCUCUCAAAUUAUUAUAUUGUAUUUUCCGAUAGUUUUUCGUUUAGGUGUUUUUUUGUAGCUAAAUUGUCCUUACAAAACUGUAUUUAUUUUCUUGAUUUCGUGAUAAUAUAUUGUAAUCAAAACUCCAUAGACUUAUUCUUCGCAAACAAAGAAAUAGAACAACUUUUGGGUACUAAUAUGUAACCCUUUCUCCAGAAAAACUCAAUAUUAAAUUCAACGCUGAAGCGUAAUCUCCACAAAAAAAUACCUUUAAGUUGGGCGCCAAGAUGUAGCCGCCACUGACCGAUCCCUUACUGGCGUACGACUUAAGCGCCACUCCGUUAGGAGAUCGUACGCCACGGUUUAAUAUGCCCGGUGAGACUCCGCUGAGGGCGAGUCCAUAAAUUGUCCUUAAAAGUGAUUAAGGAUCGGAUCAGAUAGGGCUCUCCAAAUAGCUAACCCAAAAUGCGACGAAACUAACACAUUAUGACGAAAUUGCUACCAAUCAACAUAAAAUCCUUAGAACGCCUCAGUUAUAGAUCGCCCAUACCUGGCAAUCUCAUCACUGAGCUAACGACCUCCCAUUCCCCGAUUGUAAAGGACAGCUUAUUUGCGCAUGAAACCCCCAGGUCCUCCCCAGACUACCCCAGUAUGGUCAAAUUCUUCAAUCAAUAAUUAAAGGAAAUCAUGGGAUACUUUUACAAUUUACAAAUUUAUUUCCUACGGCAUCGAAAUUAUGGCAUAUUUAAACUAGCUAAUCCUACUUGCGUGCAACUUCUAAGAAAACGCCUAAAGGUAUCCCUAUAAUCGUGCGUGCUUUGGCGACAAGCUUAUAGCAACAUAGCUUGUCGCGCCCGGGCUUUUAUGUUUCCAGAGGGGUUUCCCUAAACAAAGGCACGGGAAUUUCGACCUCACUUCUGGCUUUACAUCGGUGACGGGACUAUGUUAACCGUCGGCUAGCAUAAAAACAUAAAUCAACGCAGGUCUUAAAUAUGGACGACCCCUUCGUUGAUCAUAAAAGCUCUCCAAUUAGAAUGGACUCACCGAAUGCUGCGAUCCUGUUCCUCGCUGGUCGGAGAUGAGAGCUGUUGGCGAUGUUGAAUGAUGACUCCUUAGCGGUGAUGAGUCAUCAUGCUCUCGGAAUGCUGGCUGGCGAGUAUUCGGCGACCUCGAUGGCGAUUUUGGCGACCACCGACGAUGUUAGGUGCUG